CCAUCCUAAUGCCAGCAGUGCCUGUUGGAAAUGUUGGCCAGCUUGUAAUAGAUUGGAUUAUUUCUAUGCUGCAUAUGUGUAAGAUUGGUUACUUCUACACCACUUCUCUUGGGCAGAUGGUUGGAAACUGUCCAUAUGCAACUGCAGAAGUAAAUUCAAUAGAACUCAGUACAGAUGCUGAAGUAUAUUCAUUGCCUUCAAAAAAGCUGGUGGCUCUUCAGUUAAGAUCCAUUUUUAUUAAGUACAAAUCAAAGCCAUUCUGUGAAAAAGCUGCUUUCCUGGGUGAAAAGUAGUAACUGUGCCAAAGUUAUUGUUCUUUCAAGCAGUCAUUCAUAUCACUGUAAUGAUCUACAUUUCACAUUGGCAAGACUCCCUUCUGAUACCUGCUUACAUCUUUGGUGCAAAAAAAACUGUUCAAAAUAAAAUAGAGACCCUUAACUGGGAAGAAAUGGAAAAAAGCCCAUGCAUUCCUGAAAUAGAUGAUUUUGAGUUUUGUAUCUAUAUUCCUGGAGGAAGUAUCACAAAAAUACUCUAUACUGAAGGUUGUUUUAAAGAAAUCCCAGAUGCGGUUCUGUUGAAAUUUGUUUCAGAAGAAGACAAUAUCCUAGAUGCAUUAAUUCUUCAGUAUCUUAGUGAAUGGCUUCACAUAAACCACGUUUACAGUGUGAUGACCCUAUAGCGUCUAUCUUGUGGUGGAAAUGCCAAGUUCAUGGAGAUUUCUCUUUGGAAGUGGUCUUCACCCUAGCUUUUCUGAUCUGUUUUCAGUUGUAUACCUAAUGUCCCAAGACACUUAAUAUCAACACAACACAACACAUAGUUACACAACUAUAUAGAAAGUUAUAUUUUCUAAGGACGUAUUAGGAAGUAAAUCUUUACUUCUCACAGAAACUCUCAAAGAAAAUGGAUUAACAAAAGGUUGUUUUGCCAUGCCCCUAUACACAACAAAUGUAAGUUUUAUACAAUUAAAUAUUUCCUAAGUAA
rnacentral:lncRNA from 1 species